GGCUUCGUAGCUCAGCUGAUAGAGCGCUUUGUGAAUUUGGGCAUGGUGUUUCUAUCGCCAGUUCGAAUCUAGCCGAAGUCC